GAGGGUACAGCUCAGUGGUGGAGUGUGUGCUUAGCAUGCACGAGGUGCUGGGUUCAAUCCCCAGUGCCUCCG
rnacentral:tRNA from 1 species